CCAUAAGCACGUGCACACCUGUGAAAAGACACUCUUGCAAGCAAGUUUGCGUGAACUACAACCACUUUCGAGUCAAGGGGGUCUUCAAGCAUCUGGACGAGUGCGCGUUGGUUGCCUCAAGCCUCGAUUUCAAUGGCGAGCUGGAGUCUCUAAGCUCCCCUGAAGAAACCACCCUGCACACUUUGCUGAAACACGUACUCGUGAUGAAAACUCACCUGUCUUGCCAUUCGAGCAGCGGAGACAACAUGCGUUGUCACACGUCCAUCUGUGGCUACCUGGCUGACAUGAGAGAAAAUAUGUGUGCACACCUGGUGUGCCGUGGCGAACAGGCCGAUGCGUGUUUGGCGAAGGCAGAGCCUGCCGCGCUGGAUAUUGACAGUCAGAGCUACAGCCAAUUGGGCAAGGGAACCAUGCACCGUGAAGUGCUGGAGAAGAUGCGGGUUUUGGCCAAGCAUUACGACCAGCUUAAGAAUGCAUGUCCUCUUUGAACAAUUGUGCUUCCAUUCCAUUCUUAAUGGAGAAACAUUUUAACAAAUAUUAUGUUGUAAAUGAAGACUAUUUAAUAUUUAUUCUCUUAAUAUAAACUAAUAAUUUAUGCUGCAUUUUCACAUGC
rnacentral:lncRNA from 1 species